rnacentral:rRNA from 1 species
AGCGAACGCUGGCGGCAGGCCUAACACAUGCAAGUCGAACGGAUCCUUCGGGAUUAGUGGCGGACGGGUGAGUAACACGUGGGAACGUGCCCUUUGGUUCGGAACAACUCAGGGAAACUUGAGCUAAUACCGGAUGUGCCCUUCGGGGGAAAGAUUUAUCGCCAUUGGAGCGGCCCGCGUCUGAUUAGCUAGUUGGUGAGGUAACGGCCCACCAAGGCGACGAUCAGUAGCUGGUCUGAGAGGAUGAUCAGCCACACUGGGACUGAGACACGGCCCAGACUCCUACGGGAGGCAGCAGUGGGGAAUCUUGCGCAAUGGGCGAAAGCCUGACGCAGCCAUGCCGCGUGAAUGAUGAAGGUCUUAGGAUUGGAAAAUUCUUUCAGCGGGGACGAUAAUGACGGUACCCGCAGAAGAAGCUCCGGCUAACUUCGUG